UACGUAGGGAGCAAGCGUUAUCCGGAUUUAUUGGGUGUAAAGGGUGCGUAGACGGGAAUUUAAGUUAGUUGUGAAAUCCCUCGGCUUAACUGAGGAACUGCAACUAAAACUGAAUUUCUUGAGUGCGGGAGAGGAAAGUGGAAUUCCUAGUGUAGCGGUGAAAUGCGUAGAUAUUAGGAGGAACACCAGUGGCGAAGGCGACUUUCUGGACUGUACCUGACGCUGAGGCGCGAAAGCGUGGGUAGCGAACGGG
rnacentral:rRNA from 1 species